rnacentral:rRNA from 1 species
UACGUAGGGGGCAAGCGUUAUCCGGAUUUACUGGGUGUAAAGGGAGCGUAGACGGCCAGACAAGUCUGAAGUGAAAAUCCAGCGCUUAACGCUGGAAGUGCUUUGGAAACUGCCGGGCUGGAGUGCAGGAGGGGCAGGCGGAAUUCCUAGUGUAGCGGUGAAGUGCGUAGAUAUUAGGAGGAACACCAGUGGCGAAGGCGGCCUGCUGGACUGCAACUGACGUUGAGGCUCGAAGGCGUGGGGAGCAAACAGG